rnacentral:rRNA from 1 species
GACGAACGCUGGCGGCGUGCUUAACACAUGCAUGUCGAACGGAAAGGCCCUGCUUUUGUGGGGUGCUCGAGUGGCGAACGGGUGAGUAACACGUGUGUAACCUGCCCUUGACUUUGGGAUAACUUCAGGAAACUGGGGCUAAUACCGGAUAGGAGCUCCUGCUGCAUGGUGGGGGUUGGAAUGUCUCGGCGGUUGGGGAUGAACUCGCGGCUUAUCAGCUUGUUGGUGGGGUAGUGGCUUACCAAGGCUUUGACGGGUAGCCGGCCUGAUAUGGUGACCGGCCACAGUGGGACUGAGAUGAGGCCCAGUCUCCUACGGGAUGCAGCAGUGGGGUAUAUUGCACAAUGGGCGGAAGCCUGAUGCAGCAACGCCGCGUGCUGGAUGACGGCCUUCGGUUUGUAGACCACGUUCGCCUGUGACGAAGCGAGAGUGGCGGUAGUGGGUAAAGAAGCACCGGCUAACUACGUG